rnacentral:rRNA from 1 species
UGGGGAAUUUUGGACAAUGGGGGAAACCCUGAUCCAGCCAUCCCGCGUGCGCGAUGAAGGCCUUCGGGUUGUAAAGCACUUUUGGCAGGAAAGAAACGUCAUGGGUUAAUACCCCGUGAAACUGACGGUACCUGCAGAAUAAGCACCGGCUAACUACGUGCCAGCAGCCGCGGUAAUACGUAGGGUGCAAGCGUUAAUCGGAAUUACUGGGCGUAAAGCGUGCGCAGGCGGUUCGGAAAGAAAGAUGUGAAAUCCCAGAGCUCAACUUUGGAACUGCAUUUUUAGCUACCGGGCUAGAGUGUGUCAGAGGGAGGUGGAAUUCCGCGUGUAGCAGUGAAAUGCGUAGAUAUGCGGAGGAACACCGAUGGCGAAGGCAGCCUCCUGGGAUAACACUGACGCUCAUGCACGAAAGCGUGGGGAGCAAACAGG